UCUUCAGCCUGUAGAUGGCGCUGCGGUUGAGGGCGGAGGUGAUCUCCAGCACGCCGUUGUAGUUGUUCAGGCAGCGGCAGAUGUCGGCCACCGCCACCCACUUCUCUAUGGAGCUGGCCCUGGAGCCCACAUCCGUGGGUCACCUAGAGAUUACAAUACCCAGGACCACAGAUUCAGCCCUCUGAAUGGAGAGGAAAACUACAAUGUGACAACAAUUGGGCCUCAUCAGGAGUGAAAUAUGAGAAGACAGAUAGCACCACACUCAGAAAGACACCAAGGUCUCCCUGUGUCUCAAAAAAAUCAGUCAGAAGGCAAACUGUGUGACAGCUGUCCAGGUUCCACAAUUAAAGGGG